UGUCCCCAUUUUGGAUAGGCAACACAAUGCUCUGCUCUCUUCUUUUCAAGCAUAGCGGAGAGGGAAAAAGCCUGAACAAGAAGAUUCGCCCUAGGGGAUAGAGGAUGAAAAUGUACUGAAUUUGUACUCACUGUUCCUCUGCAGGAAUGGAUUUUCUUCUGUGUAUUGCUGACACGAACAGGAGACGGAAAUACUGAGUAGAAGAGGGCGGUUCCCUGGCUAAGGCCCCACCCUCAAGCCUGGAUACCCGCGGCCCUAAAUGAGAAGAGGCGUUUCUGUUUGGGGCCCAAAAAGUUGCUUUUUGACCCACCACGCCCCCUAUCCUGCCCCCAUAUAAACCCCAAACCCCAACCUCCAGAGCAUACCAGCAGGUGAGGAGAUACGAGGCAAGCCGACUGACGGCAAAACGACGUAGCAGAGAAAGAGAGAAGAGGAGGGACGUCUGGACACCGAGAGAUGUUUGGCUCGGGGCAGUCAGAGCGGAGUCCAGCCCCUGGGCGGCCCAACUCCAGGGGAAGAUCACCUUCCCACUUCAUCCAUCCCCACCCUUCCAGCUCCCCAUCCAUCCUGCUGAAAGCCAUUUCCACCACUCAAUAAAACCUCGCAUUCAUCCUUCAAGUCCGUGUGUGACCCGAUUUUUCCUGGAUUCUGGAAAAGAGCUCGGAAUACAGAAAGCUGUCCCCUGGUCCUUUGCCCUUGUGAAAAAGCAGAAGGUCCAUUGAGCUGGUUAACACUCCAGCUGUCUGUGGUGGCCAAGCUGAAAGAGCUUUGUAACACUGGGGUUGCAGGCACCCACCUCUAGACGCUACCGCAGAGCCAGAGCCCAAAGCCCUCACCCCGGCCUCUGCACUUGCCCAUCUGCGUGCUCCCCCUCUCGCAAGGGGUUUCUGCAGAGGGGGCUACUGAACAGAUGGAAUCUUGCUCUCUUGCUCAGACUGGAGUGCAGUGGCAUGACCUUGGCUCACUGCAACCUCACCUCUCGGGUUCAAGCGAUUCUGCCUCAGCCUCUCGAGUAGCUGGGACUACAGGUGGGAGACCUCCACAGAACCCUUCCAGCAAGCUGUCUUCUAAAGCAAACAAGAAAAGGAAAGUCUGAGCAGUUUUGAUUAGAUUUCCCAGAAGUCAAAGCAAGGAAAAAUGAAAAAGCUUCAUUUCUCACGUUCUUAAAAGAGAGCACAGAUGUUGCAUCAUCUGGUUAGAUACCCUGAGAAUAAAAUCUGGAUCCAGUGAGAGGAAAGAUUCUGGGUGCUCAUGAAAAAAGAAACAAAACAAAACUUGGGAGCCUCUUGAGAGUGUACAGCAUCAGCCCUUGCCAACUCUUGUUUAUAUGCAUUUAACUUUCAGUUAACCAUGGGAAUAAUUCAUGAAAAUCCAAUCUACAAACAAAGGCCAUCCUAACGUUCAUGUUAUUCUUUUCCCUAAGAAUCUUUCACAAGAGCUAUAAUCAAGUAGAAUUAUGCUUUGAUUUGAAUUCUAAUUCAAUUGAAAAUAAAAAAUGAGGGCCGGACGCGGUGGCUCAUGCCUGUAAUCCCAGCGCUUUGGGAGGCUGAGGUGGACGGAUCACGAGGUCAGGAGAUCGAGACCAUCCUGGCUAACACGGUGAAACCCGAUCCCUACUAAAAAUACAAAAAAUUAGCCGGGCGUGGUGGCAGGCGCCUGUAGUCCCAGCUACUCGGGAGGCUGAGGCAGGAGAAUGGCGUGAACCCAGGAGGCAGAGGUUGCAGUGAGCCGAGAUCAUGCUACUGCACUCCAGCCUGGGCGACAGAGCGAGACUCUGUGUAUAAAUAAAUAAAUAAAUAAAUAAAUAACGAAAAGGUUGCCAUUGCCCUUUCUGGGGAAAGUGAUAAUGAGGAAAGACUAGUUUCUUAACCCAAGUCAGCUUUAGAGUCGGCAAGGAUGCAAUUUGAGGUGAUCCAGGAAAACUCUAUUAGCAUGGUAUUUCCCAUACAGAUUCAUUUCUUUUAGGCCUGAAGUCUUUUUGGCACUUCUUAAUAAAAUCACAGAUACCUCUUGGA
rnacentral:lncRNA from 1 species